AACGAACGUUAGCGGCGCGCCUAACACAUGCAAGUCGCACGAGAAAGGGCUUCGGCCCCGGUAAAGUGGCGCACGGGUGAGUAACACGUGGGUAACCUGCCCUCGAGCGGGGGAUAACAUUCCGAAAGGAGUGCUAAUACCGCAUAAGACCACGACCUCGAAAGAGGUUGAGGUAAAAGCUGGCCUCUAUACAUAAGCUAGCACUUGAGGAUGGGCCCGCGGCGCAUCAGGUAGUUGGUGAGGUAAUGGCUCACCAGGCCGAAGACGCGUAGCUGGUCUGAGAGGAUGAGCAGCCACACUGGAACUGAGACACGGUCCAGACUCCUACGGGAGGCAGCAGUGGGGAAUCUUGCGCAAUGGGCGAAAGCCUGAUGCAGCGACGCCGCGUGAGUGAUGAAGGCCUUCGGGUCGUAAAGCUCUGUGGGGCGAGACGAAUAAGUGCAGCCUAAUACGUUGCAUGAUGACGGUAUCGCCUUAGCAAGCACCGGCUAACUCUGUGCCAGCCGCCGCUGUAAAAC
rnacentral:rRNA from 1 species